rnacentral:rRNA from 1 species
UAACCGGAGGAAGGUGGGGAUGACGUCAAGUCCUCAUGGCCCUUAUAGGUGGGGCUACACACGUCAUACAAUGGCUGGUACAAAGGGUUGCCAACCCGCGAGGGGGAGCCAAUCCCAUAAAGCCAGUCGUAGUCCGGAUCGUAGUCUGCAACUCGACUACGUGAAGUCGGAAUCGCUAGUAAUCGUGGAUCAGAAUGUCACGGUGAAUACGUUCCCGGGUCUU